GAGCGUGGUCACACAGAAAUUGUUAAGAUACUUCUGGAUAAGGGAGCCGACGUAAAUAAGUUUCAGUCAAAUGCUUUGUCCAGAGCAACUUCGUUAGGUCGCACAGAAAUUGUUAAGAUACUGCUGGAUAAAGGAGCCGACGUAAAUAAGUCCUACGCUUUGAUUGAAGCAGCAUCCAGGAGGUCAUGAAGAUAUCGUUCGGCUACUAUUAGAUAAAGGAGCUGAUUGGAAUCAGCUGCAGUAUUUGAAGGCGAAAGUAGCAAGUGGCCAAGCAAAUAGAAUGGAUGAGUACAAUGUCUACUGGGAUCUAAAUGAGGAUCGGAUUGCCAAAAUCAAGGAGAAAUUAUCGUUAUCAUCGAAGUCAGAAGUCCAAGAACAUUUGUCUGAACAGACACGGCAAGAAAGAGAAG